ACACCACAUAUGAAAAUUAGGUCGAAUGGAAAUAUUAGUAGCCUUCAUCCACCAAAAAGAAUGUAAUUUGACUUUCUCUACCAACUGAUGGAUGGUGCUCUCCUUAUUUUUGAAGACCCCGACUGUUUCUUUCAUUCAAGAUAACCCACCCACAACACAUCCAAAUAAGCUGCAUAAAAGAACGAGAAGCACGCAAUCAUCCACCUGCUGAAUAAACAUACUGAUAAAAAUGAGUUGACACACCAAACGGCUCGGCUGUAGAUACGCCCAACCAGUACCGAAUCUUGCCCCACAAAGCUGCAAAAAACGGACACGAAAGUACCAAAUGUUGGGUAGACUCGUUAUCGGUACACCCCACCACACACAAUGUGAUUUCAUC
rnacentral:lncRNA from 1 species